rnacentral:rRNA from 1 species
GACGAACGCUGGCGGCGUGCUUAACACAUACAAGUCGAACGGAAAGGCCCUGCUUUUGUGGGGUGCUCGAGUGGCGAACGGGUGAGUAACACGUGAGUAACCUGCCCUUGACUUUGGGAUAACUUCAGGAAACUGGGGCUAAUACCGGAUAGGAGCUCCUGCUGCAUGGUGGGGGUUGGAAAGUUUCGGCGGUUAGGGAUGGACUCGCGGCUUAUCAGCUUGUUGGUGGGGUAGUGGCUUACCAAGGCUUUGACGGGUAGCCGGCCUGAGAGGGUGAACGGGCACAUUGGGACUGCGAGACGGACCAGACUGCUACGGGAGGCAGCAGUGGGGAAUAUUGCACAAUGGGCGGAAGCCUGAUGCAGCAACGCCGCGUGCGGGAUGACGGCCUUCGGGUUGUAAACCGCUUUCGCCUGUGACGAAGCGUGAGUGACGGUAAUGGGUAAAGAAGCACCGGCUAACUACGUG